AUUUAUGGCUAUAUCAUCCUGAAGGCACUCCAUCUUGACUGAUCUUGAAAGCUAAGCAGGGUCGGGUCUGGUUAAUACUUGCGUGGGAGAAAUAAUAAUCUUGCUGAUUAGUAUUUAUU
rnacentral:rRNA from 1 species